CGUGUAGGCGGCCUGAUGUGUCAGAUGUGAAAGCCCUGGGCUUAACCCAGGAAGUGCAUUUGAAACUGUCAGGCUUGAGUAGGGGAGGGGGAAGUGGAAUUCCUGGUGUAGAGGUGAAAUUCGUAGAUAUCAGGAGGAACACCGGUGGCGAAGGCGACUUCCUGGCCCUAUACUGACGCUGAGACGCGAGAGCGUGGGUAAGCAAACA
rnacentral:rRNA from 1 species